GCCGGCAUAGCUCAGUUGGUAGAGCAACACUUUUGUAAAGUGAAGGUCGUGGGUUCGAAUCCCUCUGCCGGCU
rnacentral:tRNA from 1 species